GAUCCCUCAGAGACGAUGAGGUAGAUAGGUCCGAGGUGGAAGCGUGGUGACACGUGGAGCUGACGGAUACUAAUCGAUCGAGGACUUAACUA
rnacentral:rRNA from 1 species